CAAAAUGUCUGCAAGAGUGCGGAUCAAAUACAUACUACUAAAUGACUUCCGAGUAUUGUAGAAUUAAUUAGCAAAGCACAAAAAAAUAGAAGCCAAUUUGGUUUUGGUCAUACAUGUACAGAAAGCCUUCAACUACGCCACUCCCAUUAAAAAAAUUAACAUGGCAUGAAACCUUGAAAUUUCCCCUCCAUCUGCCAAAGUUGCCCGUUAUUUCUCCUCCAUUUGCCAAAAGGGAAAAAAACCCUAAACUUCCUUCAUCCUCUGCUCUCCACCAUCCGUUCUCAUCUGACACCACCCCUAUCACCGUCGAAACCAGCGUCCCCUUCACCGGUCACAAUUGCAAUUCGUGCUCCGUAGAAAUCUGAAAACAAAGGAGCUCUUGAACUUCUUCCACGACAUGGAAUUGAU
rnacentral:lncRNA from 1 species